rnacentral:snRNA from 1 species
AUUUAUGCGCUCACAACGAUAUUAAAUUUAUUUUUUGUGGGGGAGGGCCCACCACAGUGGCUUGCUGCUGGGGCCCUCUGGUGUCGCCCAGUGCGUUGCACUAUUGCCUGGGCAGGCGCGCCCCAA